rnacentral:miRNA from 1 species
UCAUGAUCUUGAUCGGGUGCCA